UACGGAGGGUGCAAGCGUUAUCCGGAAUCACUGGGUUUAAAGGGUGCGCAGGCGGCCUGGUAAGUCAGGGGUGAAAGCUUCCCGCUCAACGGGAGAACUGCCCUUGAUACUGCCAGGCUCGAAUUGGGUUGAGGCCGGCGGAAUGUGGCAUGUAGCGGUGAAAUGCUUAGAUAUGCCAUAGAACACCGAUUGCGAAGGCAGCCGGCCAAGCCUUGAUUGACGCUGAGGCACGAAAGCGUGGGGAGCGAACAGGAUUAGAUACCCGGUAGUCC
rnacentral:rRNA from 1 species